ensembl:lncRNA
UGUGUCACAGAUUUUUUCAGAUAGUAAAGUUCUAUCUAGUCCCCUGGGAAGUCCCCUCAGAGUACUACUCACACCUUUUGAAAGAGUUCUGGUGUGAGUUGGUUUGAGCAGAAAAUCCCCCCCAGAGGGAAGUAUAUGAAAGUAUGUUACUGAAAAAAGGAGUAAGCUAAUACAGUACCUAGGUUACUUUUAUGUGUUAGAAGAAACACUCUGAGCAGAUCCAUCUCAGGUUCACCUGAGAGUCCCAUCUUUAAAUGGCUCUCCACCUUGGGAGCUGUCUGCCAGCUCCCGAGUGCCUGACAAAUGUGUGUGAAGCUGAGUGCUUGGGCAGAGGCCCACAGUGGAGUCAGGAGGGCCUCCAUUAGGGCCUCUCACUGCCCGCAGGGCAUGUCCAUAACAUUGUGACCGGUGUCACUAAGAGUUGGUGCUGUCAUCUGUCAUUCCUCACGGCAUCUGUAAAGUCGAGGGAGCAGCCCAGGCCUCAAGGGCCAGUGUACCACACAUUGAUGACCAGGAUUGCAGAGAAAAGAGCCGCUACCGAGCCCCAGGUUGCCUGUUGGAGCUGAUGGCUAAGCAGGUUUGGAUGUGUUUCCUCCUUCAAGAUCCAGACAAGAAAGACAGCUGCAUCCAGAUGCAGAAGGAAGAGAGCCACCUUCCACGUUCGAGUGGGACUUCCUCUCCAUUCUUUGUUGUUACUGUUACUCAGUCCCUGAGUCGUGUCUGACUUGUGAC